rnacentral:rRNA from 1 species
UCUAACCCCGGUCCGCUGGCCGCUGGAGUGCGGAGGAUGCGUGCGUUAUCCGGAGUCAUGAGGUGUAAAGGGUGGGCAGGCGGAUAGAUAAGUCGGAGGUGAAAUUCUGAUGCUCAACAUCAGCCGUGCCUUCGAUACUGUAUAUCUAGAGUCAAGUUGGAGUAGGCGGAAUGUGUUGUGUAGCGGUGAAAUGCUUAGAUAUAACACAGAACACCGAUCGCGAAGGCAGCUUACUAAACUUUGACUGACGCUCAUGCACGAAAGCGUGGGGAUCAAACAGGAUUAGAUACCCGGGUAGUC